GUAGAGUAGGGAUGGCCUAGACC
rnacentral:piRNA from 1 species